rnacentral:lncRNA from 1 species
AAAACAAAAAUUUUAACAUAAUACUCUUAUAACAAAUUUCAACAUAGCAAUAAAUAUGAUUUAGUUUUAGUUUUUCUUAAUAAAGAAAACGUAAGUCUAUAACUUACUUAACAAUAAAUUCUAUUUUAAUUUAAAAAUUAGAAUAUAAUAAAAUUAUGCUAAUGAGAAAAUAAGCAUGACAUAAAGAAAUAGAUAAUACGAAAAAAUUACAUAGAAUCAUGUAAAGUAAGGUUGAGAAUAAGAAGAAAAUGAAAUAUAAUAAUAAAAAAUAAAAAAUAAACUUUUACAAAUUUUUAGAAUAAUAAAAUUAAAAAAAGAACUUAAAAUAAUAGAAGUAAAAAAAAUUAAAACAAAAAAAUUAAAAUAGAAAU